UACUGCAACACAGCUAUACUCGUCUCGCACCUACCCACCGCAGGACGGGAAGCGGCUACCCUACACGGUACCGUCACCGGUUGGCACAGAGAGUGGUACCACCGGACACGUGAUUCGCGAGAAAACCGUCCUUUCCAACUCGUCAGUCAAAACCUCAUAGAUCCGAUAGUUCGGCCUCUCCGUUGAUAACUACUCUUCCGGCCCCAUGAGAAAAACCUUGUUAAAUCACACUGUCGUCAACGGUAACCUCAAUACAAACCGUAGUGGUUAUGGAAGGCUGGUAAGAGCCUACUGUAUAAAGCAAUACUAAAAUUCCUUGGUAAAUUCGACGUUUUGCCGACCGAGGACACCCGACCUUAACCGGAGAAAAAACGAGAUCAAAGGUAAAGAAAUUGACCUCGACACUACUGGAAAGACUUACCACGUUGGUGUGUCUCUCUCUGACUGAGCGAUGAAGAAGAUAACGGUGACUAUCCGAGCAGCUUAUAGUCGUGACGGACAGACGACCCGUAGUGACCCCAAGAACGUGGUUAAAACCUCCUUUGACAUAAAUCUCCUAAAGAUUACCAUAGGAACUGAUACACCAAAAGAUGCGGUCAUAGACAAGACUAGUGUCGACACCACAAACGGAAACGAGUAGAAUGUGGUCCUCUCAAAGGGGUUGAAAAACACGAACCACACCGUGACCCUAAGAGUAUAAGAGUUUGAGCCUUAGAAGAAUGAGGAUAGUGUCAAGUACGACGAACCUUAAGGCCUCAUUAUAACAAUGAUUGGAAAGAAGUCGACGUCCCUAUACUAUAGUUCCUCGACGACGUCCGUAGAACU
rnacentral:rRNA from 1 species